rnacentral:rRNA from 1 species
AUUGAACGCUGGCGGCAGGCCUAACACAUGCAAGUCGAACGAGUGGCGGACGGGUGAGUAAUGUCUGGGAAACUGACUGAUGGAGGGGGAUAACUACUGGAAACGGUAGCUAAUAACGCAUAACAUCAGAUGUGCCCAGAUGGGAUUAGGUAGUGGGUGGGGUAAAGACGCACCAAGGGGACGAUCCCUAGCUGGUCUGAGAGGAUGACCAGCCACACUGGAACUGAGACACGGUCCAGACUCCUACGGGAGGCAGCAGUGGGGAAUAUUGCACAAUGGGCGAAAGCCUGAUGCAGCCAUGCCGCGUGUAUGAAGAAGGCCUUCGGGUUGUAAAGUACUUUCAGCGGGGAGGCGUUACCCACAGAAUAAGCACCGGCUAACUCCGUGCCAGCAGCCGCGGUAAUAC